rnacentral:rRNA from 1 species
AGUGAACGCUGGCGGUAGGCCUAACACAUGCAAGUCGAACGGCAGCACAGUAAGAGCUUGCUCUUACGGGUGGCGAGUGGCGGACGGGUGAGGAAUACAUCGGAAUCUACUUUUUCGUGGGGGAUAACGUAGGGAAACUUACGCUAAUACCGCAUACGACCUACGGGGGAAAGCAGGGGAUCUUCGGACUUUGCGCGAUUGAAUGAGCCGAUGUCGGAUUAGCUAGUUGGCGGGGUAAAGGCCCACCAAGGCGACGAUCCGUAGCUGGUCUGAGAGGAUGAUCAGCCACACUGGAACUGAGACACGGUCCAGACUCCUACGGGAGGCAGCAGUGGGGAAUAUUGGACAAUGGGCGCAAGCCUGAUCCAGCCAUACCGCGUGGGUGAAGAAGGCCUUCGGGUUGUAAAGCCCUUUUGUUGGGAAAGAAAAGCAGCAGGUUAAUACCCCGCUGUUCUGACGGUACCCAAAGAAUAAGCACCGGCUAACUUCGUG